AAAAUCAUAUGUAUACACUGUUUUGCCAGACAUCAUCUGUAAAACAGGCUCUGUUAUUUUAACGAAAGAAUUAUAUAACAUACUCCAUUGCACCAUAAUCACAUUUUUCUAAGGUAAGCACCCACUGGUCAUUGUCAUAUAGCAAGUAUUACAAAGAACAAUAAAAUGAAAAGAAAAAGGUUAAAUAGUAGCAACCCACGGUUUUCUACAGAUUAGGAAGCUUUACAUAAGACUAAUAUCCGGAGUUCCUACAGUUGCCCCCCUUGCUUCCCAAAUCACUAAAACUCUGCCACUGCUUAGAAUCUGUUUGAUGGCUUGAAUAGAUUGUGUCUUCAUCAGAACUUGUACCAGGAAACAGCAAACCAACAUAGAAAGUGAGUUGCACUUAUCUCCGUGAAAACUUGGCCAACCAAUAUAUUAUAAAGAAGCAAAAUAGAGCAAAAAG
rnacentral:misc_RNA from 1 species